rnacentral:tRNA from 1 species
AGUCCCGUAGUUCAAUAGUUAGAACGUCAGGGUAUUAUUCUUAAUUAUCCGUCUACUAUCUCUUAAGUAUAUUUAAAAGUAUAAUUAGCGGAUCACUUCUAAAUAAUAUACCCGAAAGUCACAAGUUCGAAUCCUGCCGGGACCA